rnacentral:snoRNA from 1 species
GACUUCCUGGGACUGCAAUCUGGAAGAGUGACUGGUAUUCUGCCAGCUUUGGAAACAGGAGGGCAAGCAAGAGUGACAGAGGUACCCAUCUUAUUCCUGGCAUACUCAGUAGCUGGCGAUGGACACUCUGCAACAGAG